rnacentral:rRNA from 1 species
GGCCCAGACUCCUACGGGAGGCAGCAGUGGGGAAUAUUGCGCAAUGGGCGAAAGCCUGACGCAGCGACGCCGCGUGGGUGAAGGAGCACCUCGGUGCGUAAAGCCCUAUCGGCAGGGAAGAAACAGACGGUACCUGACUAAGAAGCCCCGGCUAACUACGUGCCAGCAGCCGCGGUAAUACGUAGGGGGCAAGCGUUAUCCGGAUUCACUGGGUGUAAAGGGAGCGUAGGCGGCGACGCAAGUCUGGAGUGAAAGCCCGGGGCCCAACCCCGGGACUGCUCUGGAAACUGCGUCGCUGGAGUACGGGAGGGGCAGGCGGAAUUCCUGGUGUAGCGGUGAAAUGCGUAGAUAUCAGGAGGAACACCGGCGGCGAAGGCGGCCUGCUGGACCGUGACUGACGUUGAGGCUCGAAAGCGUGGGGAGCAAACAGGAUUAGAUACCCUUGUAA